CCGGUGUCUUCAUAUUUCAUGUACUGCACAUGCGUAUAUAUAUUACUCGAGUGUGAAACAUGCAGACAAUACUCUACCAAAGCAAGCCAGGAAACAAUCCAUCAACAAGGAAUUAAGACUGAGCUAAGGGAGCUCGCUCCAGUCAUGCUCCAGUGAUUCCCUAUGAUUAAUCAAACAUAUUUUCCCGACGAAAGACCCCCC
rnacentral:lncRNA from 1 species